rnacentral:rRNA from 1 species
AGCGUACACGGUGGAUGCCCUGGCAGUCAGAGGCGAUGAAGGACGUGCUAAUCUGCGAUAAGCGUCGGUAAGGUGAUAUGAACCGUUAUAACCGGCGAUUUCCGAAUGGGGAAACCCAGUGUGUUUCGACACACUAUCAUUAACUGAAUCCAUAGGUUAAUGAGGCGAACCGGGGGAACUGAAACAUCUAAGUACCCCGAGGAAAAGAAAUCAACCGAGAUUCCCCCAGUAGCGGCGAGCGAACGGGGAGCAGCCCAGAGCCUGAAUCAGUGUGUGUGUUAGUGGAAGCGUCUGGAAAGGCGCGCGAUACAGGGUGACAGCCCCGUACACAAAAAUGCACAUGCUGUGAGCUCGAUGAGUAGGGCGGGACACGUGGUAUCCUGUCUGAAUAUGGGGGGACCAUCCUCCAAGGCUAAAUACUCCUGACUGACCGAUAGUGAACCAGUACCGUGAGGGAAAGGCGAAAAGAACCCCGGCGAGGGGAGUGAAAAAGAACCUGAAACCGUGUACGUACAAGCAGUGGGAGCACGCUUAGGCGUGUGACUGCGUACCUUUUGUAUAAUGGGUCAGCGACUUAUAUUCUGUAGCAAGGUUAACCGAAUAGGGGAGCCGAAGGGAAACCGAGUCUUAACUGGGCGUUAAGUUGCAGGGUAUAGACCCGAAACCCGGUGAUCUAGCCAUGGGCAGGUUGAAGGUUGGGUAACACUAACUGGAGGACCGAACCGACUAAUGUUGAAAAAUUAGCGGAUGACUUGUGGCUGGGGGUGAAAGGCCAAUCAAACCGGGAGAUAGCUGGUUCUCCCCGAAAGCUAUUUAGGUAGCGCCUCGUGAAUUCAUCUCCGGGGGUAGAGCACUGUUUCGGCAAGGGGGUCAUCCCGACUUACCAACCCGAUGCAAACUGCGAAUACCGGAGAAUGUUAUCACGGGAGACACACGGCGGGUGCUAACGUCCGUCGUGAAGAGGGAAACAACCCAGACCGCCAGCUAAGGUCCCAAAGUCAUGGUUAAGUGGGAAACGAUGUGGGAAGGCCCAGACAGCCAGGAUGUUGGCUUAGAAGCAGCCAUCAUUUAAAGAAAGCGUAAUAGCUCACUGGUCGAGUCGGCCUGCGCGGAAGAUGUAACGGGGCUAAACCAUGCACCGAAGCUGCGGCAGCGACGCUGAUGCGUUGUUGGGUAGGGGAGCGUUCUGUAAGCCUGCGAAGGUGUGCUGUGAGGCAUGCUGGAGGUAUCAGAAGUGCGAAUGCUGACAUAAGUAACGAUAAAGCGGGUGAAAAGCCCGCUCGCCGGAAGACCAAGGGUUCCUGUCCAACGUUAAUCGGGGCAGGGUGAGUCGACCCCUAAGGCGAGGCCGAAAGGCGUAGUCGAUGGGAAACAGGUUAAUAUUCCUGUACUUGGUGUUACUGCGAAGGGGGGACGGAGAAGGCUAUGUUGGCCGGGCGACGGUUGUCCCGGUUUAAGCGUGUAGGCUGGUUUUCCAGGCAAAUCCGGAAAAUCAAGGCUGAGGCGUGAUGACGAGGCACUACGGUGCUGAAGCAACAAAUGCCCUGCUUCCAGGAAAAGCCUCUAAGCAUCAGGUAACAUCAAAUCGUACCCCAAACCGACACAGGUGGUCAGGUAGAGAAUACCAAGGCGCUUGAGAGAACUCGGGUGAAGGAACUAGGCAAAAUGGUGCCGUAACUUCGGGAGAAGGCACGCUGAUAUGUAGGUGAAGUCCCUUGCGGAUGGAGCUGAAAUCAGUCGAAGAUACCAGCUGGCUGCAACUGUUUAUUAAAAACACAGCACUGUGCAAACACGAAAGUGGACGUAUACGGUGUGACGCCUGCCCGGUGCCGGAAGGUUAAUUGAUGGGGUCAGCGCAAGCGAAGCUCUUGAUCGAAGCCCCGGUAAACGGCGGCCGUAACUAUAACGGUCCUAAGGUAGCGAAAUUCCUUGUCGGGUAAGUUCCGACCUGCACGAAUGGCGUAAUGAUGGCCAGGCUGUCUCCACCCGAGACUCAGUGAAAUUGAACUCGCUGUGAAGAUGCAGUGUACCCGCGGCAAGACGGAAAGACCCCGUGAACCUUUACUAUAGCUUGACACUGAACAUUGAGCCUUGAUGUGUAGGAUAGGUGGGAGGCUUUGAAGUGUGGACGCCAGUCUGCAUGGAGCCGACCUUGAAAUACCACCCUUUAAUGUUUGAUGUUCUAACGUGGACCCGUGAUCCGGGUUGCGGACAGUGUCUGGUGGGUAGUUUGACUGGGGCGGUCUCCUCCUAAAGAGUAACGGAGGAGCACGAAGGUUGGCUAAUCCUGGUCGGACAUCAGGAGGUUAGUGCAAUGGCAUAAGCCAGCUUGACUGCGAGCGUGACGGCGCGAGCAGGUGCGAAAGCAGGUCAUAGUGAUCCGGUGGUUCUGAAUGGAAGGGCCAUCGCUCAACGGAUAAAAGGUACUCCGGGGAUAACAGGCUGAUACCGCCCAAGAGUUCAUAUCGACGGCGGUGUUUGGCACCUCGAUGUCGGCUCAUCACAUCCUGGGGCUGAAGUAGGUCCCAAGGGUAUGGCUGUUCGCCAUUUAAAGUGGUACGCGAGCUGGGUUUAGAACGUCGUGAGACAGUUCGGUCCCUAUCUGCCGUGGGCGCUGGAGAACUGAGGGGGGCUGCUCCUAGUACGAGAGGACCGGAGUGGACGCAUCACUGGUGUUCGGGUUGUCAUGCCAAUGGCACUGCCCGGUAGCUAAAUGCGGAAGAGAUAAGUGCUGAAAGCAUCUAAGCACGAAACUUGCCCCGAGAUGAGUUCUCCCUGACUCCUUGA